rnacentral:lncRNA from 1 species
UAAUCACACAAAAAUAAAUAUAUAUAUAUAUAUAUAUAUCAUACUUUUAGCUAAACAAUGAAAAUAUGUAUUUUGUCUUAUUAAUUAGACUUGUAUUAGCUUAAUUUAAUUUCUGUUUGGUAUCCCAUACAGUUUGAAAAAAUUAGUAUGUAUACUUGUUUUGUUUGACAAUAACCCCCAAAGCUACAGGACAGAUUACUUGUACUAAAAACUAAAUGAACAUCUUGGAUUACUAUGAAAAGAACAUCCACUUGGAAGCGACAAUUUUGGUUCAGGUUCAAUAUACGUUGAUAUACACAUAUAACCUAAAAAUACAUUGCUGAAACACACAAUUAAAGCUCUAAACCCAUAUAGAAAUUGGAUACAGAAUCGACUAUCUAAAUUGAAGCGAGACUUGAGGAUUUGAUUGGAAUAGGAAUCUGAAAGUAUAAUACGGUUAAUUCCGGCGGAGUGAAUACAACAUGCAUAUCUAUUAAUGAGACCUAAACCUACCCUUACACACAGUCCGAGAUCAGUAGCUUUCCUAUUAAUUAGGAACCACUCCACCUCUUAAUUUUAUGCCGCAUUUUCUGACUUUAAUUACGUCAUAAAAAACCACAAAAUUGUAACCGUUUUCUAUACUAUUUCCAAAAGACCAUGCCUCGAA